AUCCUUGAGGCCUGCGGGGCAACGGUGGCUGUCCUUGGCCCGGCUUUGGAAUGUGGCUUUGCAGGGCUGGUGUUGGCGCCAUUCUCGCAGGCCCACGUGCUCCUGCUCUUCCAGGGUGUCCUCGGCUGUUUCUCCUGCCGCGGCGCAGCAGCGCUCCCAGGCUGCCCCCGCGAUAACACGCCCCUGGCAGCCAGGCUCCCAGCUCUGUUACGUGCCCGGGCGGGGAAGAGCUUCCUGGUGUCUCCCGGCUCCUGCCCUUCUCCCGCCCCAGGGGCGGGCUGCCGCCGCCCUCUGCA
rnacentral:lncRNA from 1 species